ACCAUUUGCGCAUGUGACUGCAAUCAUGUCUGGAGAUUAGUUAGGGAUGCCUUGGUUCCUUUUGAGCCUCUGUCAAAAUGCCUGGGGUUUCUUAAACAGUGGCAGCAGCAUUCCGAAAAGAGUGACAGCAAAAGAAGCUUGGAAGUCAUGUCAAUUGGUCAAAUUGAGGUAGUUGAAAUCUCACAUCAUGAACUAGCAACAGUCCCUAGUUCAGAGGAGAUGGUAUUGGCAAGCAUUUUGUAAUCAAGAUACAAUCACAAUCUGUUAAA
rnacentral:lncRNA from 1 species